rnacentral:misc_RNA from 1 species
UCGAAAGUGGCGUGGCAUCGAGCACAGCGUCGUUUUUCUUUGGUGCUUUCAUAAUCGCCUCUGCACUCCUCUGCCUUGGCAAGCGCGAGUGUAUACAGUCGGCGGGCAUUCUUCAUAGCAGGCAGGCCGAUACACUCGUUGAUUUACUCAGCUCGUCCGCCCGGCAACACGUGUGCGCGCACACUGUGUGAACGGGCAGCGGCGACCCGAAGAACUGUUGCCUGCUUUCAAGUCCGCGGCACAAAGAGGCGAAAAGCGGGUUUGUCGGCAUCACAUGAACCCGUCGUCAAAACGGCACGCGUACGAGCCGCUGCCGCAGCAGCAGCAGCAGCAGCACCCCACAAACCCGCCGCCUGCCUAUCAGCAUCACCGAGUAAGCACAGGCACUGGUCGCGAAAGCCCUGCCCUUCCACAGCUCUCGCCGAACUCGAUGUCUGCGGUGACCAACAUCGCCGAGCCCUCCUCAAGCCCCGCCCUCAUCUCCACCUCGGCAGCGUCGUCGAAUCUGGUGCCCAUCUUCCAAGGGCGGGAGGAUUCUGCAGCAGCUUCAAGACGUGGCGGCGACGGCAAUUCUGAAGUGCAUCCUCAUCCCGCCGAGGUAAGCGAAAGCUACCCUGGGGCGUCCACCGCGGCGGCGCAGUCCAUGGCGCUGGCGGUGGUGCCCUUCACGGGCACUAGCGGCGUCGGCGUCGGCGUCAGCGCACCGCAACGUUGUGACCCGAGAGUGGGCGGUGCCGACCAAGAAGGCAAGAACACGGGUGUUGGUGGUGAUGACGUUGGCUACUACUCUGGGCCCUCCCCGUAUGGCAAGCUGGCCCCUUUGUCGCUGAGCACGGAACGAGUGUGUCCGCAUUGCCUUCGGCCGUACGACGUCUUCGACGACGGCGAAGGCGUCUUCGACCCGGCGACGUUCUUCCGCGUGGAUGCGACGACGCGGUCAUCGUCGAUACAGCCCUCAUCAAGCCAUCCGAAACUGCUCCCGCCGCCCUCGCAUGAGGGGGAUGAACAGCAGAAGCAGCAACCAUCGACGUCCCCGCGCUUAUACACUGAGGGCGCAGGGGAUGGUGGCGCUGCUGCUGGGCAGCUGUUGUGCAGCAGGAGCAGCACGGCCGCUGGGCUCGAUGAUAGCAGCAGUGAUGGCACCAACCGCAGCGGCAACUACAUCACGGCCGUACAUCCACCAGCUGCUGCAUUCACCUCGCACUACUUUCGUGCGCUGCCCCCACCCUCGUUCAUCAUAGCGGCGGGAGCCCGCGGUGCAUCGGCACCGCUUGCCAUUGAGGACUACCGUCCAUCGCCGCUAAUCGGUAGCCCGAGAGACGAGAAGGUGGAAGCGAGACAGCCGUUUGCACUGGCACCCGCGCUUGCCAGUGACAACGGUGGUGGAGGUGGUAACUCGAGUGGGACGCUGGUGUGCAAAGUAGCUGCCGUGCCGCACUACUCCUACGUGUGGCCCAUCACCUGCACAGGGAUGCGCUCGCAGGUGCGACUGCUGCAGCAGGGUGACAGCAGCGAGAAGACGGCGGCAGAGAUGGAGGGCGGGAAAGAGGAGUCGCCGUCGUGCGAGAGCGGCUCGCCCGUGUGCUCCCCCACCGCUGCGACGCCGUCGCCGAACAAUGGCUACUACCGUCAUUACUUCAAGGAGCUCCGUCAGCUGGGUCGCGGCACCUACGGAGGAGUCUACCUCUGUCGCCACGUUAUGUGUGGCGUUAACCUCGGCGAGUUCGCUCUUAAGAAGAUUCCAGUCGGCGACAAGGUCACCUACCUGCAGUCGGUGCUGCGUGAGGUGCGCAUUCUCGAGGAGGUGCGACGGCACCCCAACGUGGUCGAGUACAAGCACAGCUGGGUGGAGGAGGCACAGCUCGCCGACUUUGGUCCGCCCGUGCGCUGUCUCUUCAUCUUGAUGGAGUACGCGUCCGCUGGCUCGCUUGACACGUAUCUGGAGCGCUACGGCAACAAUCUCUCCACCCUCGCCGUGUGGUACUUCUUCCUCAGCUCCGUGGCCGGCACGGCGCACCUUCAUGAGAAGCACAUCUUGCACCGCGACCUAAAGCCACAGAACCUGUUGCUGGCCGCGACGAAGGACCGUCCGCCACGGGUGCUGGUCAGCGACUUUGGCACGGCGGCGCUGCUGGAUGACAUCUUGUACGACCGGUCCGGUGGCACGGGCACGCUCGAGUACAUGGCGCCGGAGCUCCUCGAGACGACCGCCUCUCCACGCGGCGCCAACGAGCGGUACGUGAACCAUCACACGAUGGCCUCCGACGUGUGGUCGCUGGGGAUGGUGCUGCACUACCUCGCCUUCGACGGCGCGCUGCCGGAGCGACACGAGGACGGCAGUGUCAACCUUGACAAGGCACGCCACUCGGCCAACGCCAGGCCGCCUGAAAUGCUCAGACUGCUGGAGGCCAUGCUGCAGCUUGAUCCCGCAAAGCGGCCGCGCUGCUGCGACAUCCUCGCAUCCCCGAUGGUGCAGUCCAUCAUGCGCAUCUUCAACAAAGAUGACCAUAGCCAGUGGGACCUCUCCAUCCAGCGGCAGCAGCAGCUCUCGGCUACCUCGCCGUCUGCGAUUCUCCCGUUGGAGCGUCCCCCUCGCCCACCGGUGCCGGCGCCAGCGCCCAGAAGUGCACCACUCAAUGCUCUGGAGGCCCACAGCAUCGAUGACAGCAGCUCGCCCCGCGGCGCUCGCAGCCGCAACGCUAUCGCCGCCAUCUCCACCUCUUCACAGGGACGCGGCGUGCGGGCCGACAGUACGAAUCUGGAGGACAAGAGCAACACACUUCAAAGCAGCCGUGUCGAGCUCCUCUCAGCGUCGACGUUGGUGGAUCUGUCAACGGCGAUGGCGCGUGCCGGGAGCAGCAGCAGCAGCAACGGUAGCCCCUUGGCAAUGAAGUUGCCUCCGCCGCGCCCAUCUACUGUGAUCUCCCAGCAUGGCCGACAGCAGCAGCAACGCGCGCAUGUGGUGGCCGGGUUACCAAAGACUCUAGCCUCCUCCAACACCUUCCAGUUUUCAGACUCGCCAUCGCCGCGCAGGGUCAAUGUCGGCGUGCAAACCAAUCCGGUGGUGAUAGUGGAGAAGCAGCAACGGCACGCAUAAGGGGGGAGUAGCGAGUAGUAUAGUAUGGAAGUGAAAGAGGACCAGGACCGCUGCGACCGAUGCAUCGUGGUUGGCCCCCUCCCCUCCCUCCUUCAUUAGCAUCUCCCCUCGCAAAUGUGUGUGAGAGCAUGUUCAUGUGUGUGUCCCCAUCACUCGCUUUCUGCCCACAUGCCCUCGCUCUCUCCUCCUUCCUCCUUCCCUUUCUGGUCUCUUCGCCAUUCACGUCCAUUAUUUCCGCCCUCCCCUUCCC